UGCCUCAGUAACGGCGAGUGAAGCGGCAACAGCUCAAAUUUGAAAUCUGGCCCUAGGCCCGAGUUGUAAUUUGCAGAGGAUGCUUUUGGCAAGGUGCCUUCCAAGUUCCCUGGAACGGGACGCCACAGAGGGUGAGAGCCCCGUCAGGUCGUGCAACCAAGCCUUUGUAAAGCUCCUUCGACGAGUCGAGUAGUUUGGGAAUGCUGCUCUAAAUGGGAGGUAUAUGUCUUCUAAAGCUAAAUACCGGCCAGAGACCGAUAGCGCACAAGUAGAGUGAUCGAAAGAUGAAAAGCACUUUGAAAAGAGAGUUAAAAAGCACGUGAAAUUGUUGAAAGGGAAGCGUUUAUGACCAGACUUGGGCCCGGUUGAUCAUCCAGCGUUCUCGCUGGUGCACUCUGCCGGCCCAGGCCAGCAUCAGUUCGCUCCGGGGGACAAAGGUUCCGGGAAAGUAGCCCCCUCGGGGGUGUUAUAGCCCGGUUCAAAUGCCCUGGGGUGGACUGAGGUCCGCGCAUUGCAAGGAUGCUGGCGUAAUGGUCAUCAACGACCCGUCUUGAAACACGGACCAAGGAGUCGUCUUCGUAUGCGAGUGUUUGGGUGUAAAACCCCGGCGCGUAAUGAAAGUGAACGCAGGUGAGAGCUUCGGCGCAUCAUCGACCGAUCCUGAUGUUCUCGGAUGGAUUUGAGUAAGAGCAUACGGGGCCGGACCCGAAAGAAGGUGAACUAUGCCUGUAUAGGGUGAAGCCAGAGGAAACUCUGGUGGAGGCUCGCAGCGGUUCUGACGUGCAAAUCGAUCGUCAAAUAUGGGCAUGG
rnacentral:rRNA from 1 species